rnacentral:siRNA from 1 species
AAUCUUAGAGGUCGCCAGUUCGA